rnacentral:rRNA from 1 species
GACAGAGGAUGCAAGCGUUAUCCGGAAUGAUUGGGCGUAAAGCGUCUGUAGGUGGCUUUUUAAGUCUGCCGUCAAAUCCCAGGGCUUAACCCUGGACAGGCGGUGGAAACUACCAAGCUGGAGUACGGUAGGGGCAGGGGGAAUUUCCGGUGGAGCGGUGAAAUGCGUAGAGAUCGGAAAGAACACCAACGGCGAAAGCACUCUGCAGGGCCGACACUGACACUGAGAGACGAAAGCUAGGGGAGCGAAUGGG